rnacentral:rRNA from 1 species
UACGUAGGUGGCAAGCGUUACUCGGAAUCACUAGGCGUAAAGCGCAUGUAGGCGGUUCGGUAAGUCUCUUGUGAAAGCUCCCGGCUCAACUGGGAGAGGUCAAGGGAAACUACCGGGCUAGAGUGUGGCAGAGGAAGCUGGAAUUCCCGGUGUAGCGGUGAAAUGCGUAGAGAUCGGGAGGAACACCUGUGGCGAAGGCGGCCACCUGGGUGGAUACUGACGCUGAGACGCGAAAGCGUGGGGAGCAAACAGG